CCAAUAGCGUAUAUUAAAGUUGUUGCAGUUAAAAAGCUCGUAGUUGAAUUUCGGGAUCAAUAUGUCGGUCGUGCCUCCGGUACGUACUGGCGUUAUUGGUUUCUCCCUUCUGACGAACCACGAUGUCAUUAAUUUGGUGUUAUGGGGAAUCAGGACUGUUACUUUGAAAAAAUUAGAGUGUUUAAAGCAGGCUCACGCUUGAAUACAUUAGCAUGGAAUAAUGAAAUAGGACGUUUGAUUCUAUUUUGUUGGUUUCUAGGAUCGACGUAAUGAUUAAUAGGGAUAGUUGGGGGCAUUAGUAUUCAAUUGUCAGAGGUGAAAUUCUUGGAUUUAUUGAAGACUAACUACUGCGAAAGCAUUUGCCAAGGAUGUUUUCAUUAAUCAAGAACGAAAGUUAGGGGAUCGAAGACGAUCAGAUACCGUCGUAGUCUUAACCAUAAACUAUGCCGACUAGGGAUCGGAUGAUGUUAAUUUUUUAAUGACUCAUUCGGCGCCUUACG
rnacentral:rRNA from 1 species